rnacentral:rRNA from 1 species
UACAGAGGUCUCAAGCGUUGUUCGGAUUCAUUGGGCGUAAAGGGUGCGUAGGUGGCGUGGUAAGUCGGGUGUGAAAUUUCGGAGCUUAACUCCGAAACUGCAUUCGAUACUGCUGUGCUUGAGGACUGGAGAGGAGACUGGAAUUUACGGUGUAGCAAUGAAAUGCGUAGAGAUCGUAAGGAAGACCAGUGGCGAAGGCGGGUCUCUGGACAGUUCCUGACACUGAGGCACGAAGGCCAGGGGAGCAAACGGG